rnacentral:rRNA from 1 species
GACGAACGCGGCGGCGUGCUUAACACAUGCAAGUCGAACGGAGCGAAUGAAAGCUUGCCUUUAUGAGCUUAGUGGCAAACGGGUGAGUAACACGUAGACAACCUGCCGACAGGAUGGGGACAACAUUCCGAAAGGAAUGCUAAUACCGAAUGAAGCGGAGGAGAGGCAUCUCUCCUCCGUGAAAGAUGGCCUCUAUUUAUAAGCUAUCACCUGUCGAUGGGUCUGCGUCUGAUUAGCUAGUUGGUGAGGUAACGGCUCACCAAGGCGACGAUCAGUAGCCGGUCUGAGAGGAUGAACGGCCACAUUGGGACUGAGACACGGCCCAGACUCCUACGGGAGGCAACAGUGGGGAAUCUUCCGCAAUGGGCGCAAGCCUGACGGAGCAACGCCGCGUGAGUGAAGAAGGUCUUCGGAUCGUAAAGCUCUGUUGAUGGGGACGAACGUGCGAAGGGUGAAUAUCCUUGCAAAUGACGGUACC